GGAUGUGGCUUAAGUGGUAGCGCGCUUGCCUAGCAUGUGUGAGGCACUGGGUUCGAUUCUCAGCACCA
rnacentral:tRNA from 1 species